rnacentral:rRNA from 1 species
UACAGAGGGUGCGAGCGUUAAUCGGAAUUACUGGGCGUAAAGCGUGCGUAGACGGCUAUCUAAGUCGGGUGUGAAAGCCCCGGGCUCAACCUGGGAAUUGCAUUCGAGACUGAAUAGCUAGGGUACGGUAGAGGGAAGUGGAAUUUCCGGUGUAGCGGUGAAAUGCGUAGAUAUCGGAAGGAACAUCAGUGGCGAAAGCGAAUCCCUGGAAAAUACCUGACACUGAGGCACGAAAGCUAGGGGAGCAAACAGG